rnacentral:rRNA from 1 species
UACGGGAGGCAGCAGUGGGGAAUAUUGCACAAUGGGCGAAAGCCUGAUGCAGCUAUGCCGCGUGUAUGAAGAAGGCCUUAGGGUUGUAAAGUACUUUCAUCGGGGAGGAAAAACAAAACUAAUAAUUUUAUUUCUUGACGUUACCCGAAAAAGAAGCACCGGCUAACUCCGUGCCAGCAGCCGCGGUAAUACGGAGGGUGCUAGCGUUAAUCAGAAUUACUGGGCGUAAAGAGCACGUAGGUGGUUUUUUUAGGUCAGAUGUGAAAUCCCUGGGCUUAACCUGGAACUGCAUUUUGAAACUGAAAUACUAGAGUAUCGUAGAGGGAGGUAGAAUUCUAGGUGUAGCGGUGAAAUGCGUAGAUAUCUGGAGGAAUACCUGUGGCGAAAGCGGCCUCCUAAACGAAUACUGACACUGAGGUGCGAAAGCGUGGGGAGCAAACAGGGAUUAGAUACC